CUCCUUCCAAGAGCUCACCAUGGCCAGGACUCUGCUUUUCCUCACACUUCUCAGUUACUGUUCAGGUGUCAGUUCACAGCCAACAUUGACUCAGCCGGCCACUGUGUCUGUGUCCCCGGGACAAACAGCUACAAUAUCCUGCACCAUCAGCAGUAACCCAUAUACCACAGGCUGGUAUCAACAGAAACCUGGCCAGGGUCCUCGCUAUGUGCAUGCUGAUGGUGGAUACGGCAGGGGAGAAGGGAUCCCGGAUCGAUUCACUGCUUCCCGCUCUGGGAACACGGCCUCUUUAACCAUCACCGGCACUCAGGCUGAAGCUAAUUAUUACUGUGCAAUGUAUUACAGCAGCUCGUUCCACAGUGUCAUUUCACAGCCAACGUUGACUCAGCCGGCCACGCUGUCUGUGUCCCCGGGAGAAACAGCUAAACUCUCCUGCACCAUCAGCAGUAAUUCAUACUACACAGGCUGGCUUCAACAGAAACCUGGACAAGGCCCCCGCUAUGUGCAUGGUGAUGGGAACAAUAGGGGAGAAGGGAUCCCGGACCGAUUCACUGCUUCCCGGUCUGGGAACAUGGCCUCUUUAACCAUCACCUGCAUUCGAGCUGAAGAUGAGGCACAUUAUUACUGUGCUAUGUGGUCCACCAGUGUUAGCAUGUUUCACAGUGGUAAAUUCUAA